GCGUGUAAUAUAUUUUUAACAGCAGUAAACACUUAGAUAUAUUUAGCACUGAACAAUUAAUUAGUCACUACUGAAUUUGGCGGGAAGCAUACGUCAUGCCGUUUCCUGAUUGGUCAAGUUGAAACAAUCGGAAUGGAAUGUGUUGCUGCAGUAAGCAGCCUGUUAGUGGGGAGAAAACCUCGGACCCGCGAACAGGCUGCGUAGGAGACUAAGGAAAUACCGUCUGCCGCAAAACUAGGGGUUUUUGAAUUACCCGUCCGCUGGUGAACGGGAAAAACGGAUUGGUUAGUAUUUUUAUGUAGUUG